GUAGGUGAACCUGCGGAAGGAUCAUUAGAAGAUUAAUUGCAUAUAUUAUAUUUGUAAUGUUUUUUCACCCACCCCGAGUGUAUUCUCGCUGUGCAUAUAGUAGUGCGCGAGUCUUUAUAUUUUACACAACUCAUAAUUGACAUCAUUACCAAUGAAUCCUAGCGGAUAUCUAAGCAAAAAUAAAACAGCUUGUAGCAACGGAUCUCUAGGCUCUU
rnacentral:misc_RNA from 1 species